rnacentral:tRNA from 1 species
GCCCGUAAAUCGGGUACAUCGACGCAACCUCUCCGCUGAGUUGGGCGACCUGGGUUGCGGUGUGUCGGUUCGAGUCCGACUGGGGGCACCA